rnacentral:snRNA from 1 species
AGCUUUGCGCAGUGGCAGUAUUGUAGCCAAUGAGGUUUAUCUGAAGCGCGAUUAUUGCUAAUUGAAAAAUCAAGGCCCAGGACCUCUGGGUGGCUCAGUCUGUUAAAAGCAUCUGACUCUUGAUCUCAG